GGAUAACUACUGGAAACGGUAGCUAAUACCGCAUAAUCUCUCAGGAGCAAAGCAGGGGAACUUCGGUCCUUGCGCUAUCGGAUGAACCCAUAUGGGAUUAGCUAGUAGGUGAGGUAAUGGCUCACCUAGGCGACGAUCCCUAGCUGGUCUGAGAGGAUGAUCAGCCACACUGGGACUGAGACACGGCCCAGACUCCUACGGGAGGCAGCAGUGGGGAAUAUUG
rnacentral:rRNA from 1 species